rnacentral:sRNA from 1 species
AGUGCCAACUCGUCAACAACAACAACAAAAACAACAACAACCGCCAAAGAUACCAAAGAUAUUGCACCAGCAGGGUAAAUCGAGAUGUGUUCCGUCUGC